AGUUCGAUACUUGCUUGGCACCUAUUUGGAGUAUCCGUGCUUUGUACAAGAGGAGUUCCCAAGCAUUGCAUGUCUGGUUAUGUGCCUUCACUUGGAAACUGUUGGUCGUGAGGUUGCUAGGUAAGCAUCUCGUCAGGUCAUUUGCCUAAAGUUUAUUAAUCAGGCAUAGGGUUACAUUUCAAGUGAAUUAAUUGUAGUUUCUCGGAUAAUCCUCCAGUUC
rnacentral:lncRNA from 1 species